rnacentral:rRNA from 1 species
GAUGAACGCUGGCGGCGUGCCUAACACAUGCAAGUCGAACGGAAAGACGAGGAGCUUGCUCCUUUGACGUUAGCGGCGCGGGUGUGUGACACAUGUGUAACAUCCCCCUAUAUGACGGGGAAAAUCUCGGGAAACCGGAUAAUAUACCAUAUAAUCUACUGAAGCACAUGGGUGAUUAGAGAAAGUCGGCUUUUCUGUCACUUCUCGCUGGUUCCGCGCCGCAUUAGCUGGUUGGUGGGGUAACGGCCUAUCACGGCGACGAUGCGUAGACGACCUGAUAGGGUGAUCGGCCACCCUGGAACUGAGCCACGGUCCAGACUCCUACGGGAGGCAGCAGUAGGGAAUGUUCCGCAAUGGGCGAAAGUCUGACGCAGCAACGCCACGUGUGUGACGAAGGCCUUCGGAUCGUAAAGAUCUGUUACUGGUGAAGAACAGAUGUGUAAUUAAAUAUGGACUUAUUGACGGUACCGGGUCAAGAAGCACCGGCUAACUACGUG